UUAAUUAAGUGCAAGUAACGUUAAAUCAUUCAAAAUGGUAUUUCUUCUAUACUUUUUGAUUUACCUAUAAUAUAUACGUUAUAUAUAAUAUACGUUAUACGAUUUUUGUUCAAGUCGACGUUGAGGAUGAAAUGAUAGAAAUUAAUUCGGCGGCUGGUUUGAUUACCGUUUUAACAAGAAUCCUUAGGAAUACUGAAGACAGAAAUGCAAACACUUAUAUCGCCGAUGCUGUCAUGAAUAGAAUAUUGUCAUUUGAUCAUUUGCCUACUGACAAAAAACAUGUAUUUUCUGUGUUGCUGAACAAUAUAAUGUGCUUAUAUCACGUAGCUUGCCAUAGACAGUUAAUUGAAGUAAGAUAUGAACGCAACAUUAUAUAUCUUAAAGGCGUAGUACGAGUUACACGUUAUUAAUUAUUUGUUGUCAUUUUUAUUAAUAUAAUAUAAUGUAUUCUUAUAGUAUGUAGCUUUCAAAGACAGAUUAGUCGAUUUAUCGAUAGACUAUGCUAUAGUAGAUUAUGAAUUAAAAAUUUCCAACGAAAACGUGGACAUGUUAGAGCACACUCUUAAGGACAUUUAAAAAAAAAUUUGUUUAUCUAUGAGGCAUGUAGCCUGGCUGAAGAGUUUGAUAUUUGUAGGCGCAAAUUAACAAAUUUUAGAAUGGAUUCUCUCGAUCAUUUCGAACACAGUAAAAUAUUGUUCAGAUGUUGAAGACGAAUUGUUCAGAUUCGUCCCAGAAUUUUAUAUUGAUAAUCUGAUGGGGUUAGCUGUUCUAUUGCCUGAUUACACUAACGUAAUCCAGAAGUUCGAUGCUAUUAUAGUUGCUAAAAAAUGGUUAGCCAUGUUCAUUGCUGAAAUAUUACUUGACAUUUUUAAUGAUCAUAGAAUAAUCCAUCCGAAAACCAAAGAAAUAAUUGUACAAGGAGUCACUUUGUAUUUGACUAAUCCUAAAUCAGUUGAAAAAAAAUCACGACUGCGUGCGAUCAAAUCAAUUUUAAAACCGAGGGAGUGAAAAAUGUAGAUCAAAACCAAUUUAAUAUUAAUGUUAAUUUGGUACGGUUCUGGAUUUGCAUUUCGUUAUGUACAACCGCCUCAUCUAAACAAUAAACACAUCUCUACACAAGGAGCACUUGAAGAAAUUGUGUUUUCUAACAUGGGCACUGGUUAUAGUUUUAUAACUUUUUUGUACUAGGUAGUUAUAAUUAUUGUGUUUUUUUCUCGACAGUACGACCACCUGCUACCGUGUUACAAAAUGACAUAUGAACGGUUAUAGCUCAAGACAAAGAAACAGCGUCUAAUUUUAUCAAUAACUCAUUUAAUUAUCUAAACUGGGCUUUUUCUGAGUUCAUAAGUUUAUUCCAAGAAAUAAAAGAUAUAAACGAAAACCAUACUGUUAUUUUUUCGUCGGAAGAAGUGAACAAGCUAAAAAUGUGUGGUAAAAGUUUUAUUUACACUGUAACAUUAUUACGUGUUAUUGAAAUGAUGAUUCAUUUUGAUCGUAAUUUCAUAAUUGACCAAGAAGGAUCACUUGGCAGAGUCUUUCAGGUUGCGAAGAAUCCUUGAAUUGUUUUUUUUAAAUAUAAUGCAUUAGGUACUUACAUAAUGUAAUACAUUAAUUGUUUUGUGCUUUUCAGUUAAUAUGUCAAAUUCUCAAUCGUAUAAAUGCCUCAUCUUCUACGUUUAGCCGAAUUUCGCAAUUAUCGUUACCGCAUAUGGAUUGUGUACAUAAGUUUACAAUUCUUGUAGCUACAAACUGGUGUUUUGUUAUCUAUGUUAGACGGUGAAAUAAAUAAAAAGGGUGAAUGAACAAGCCUCAUAUAUUUUAAAUGUUUGAAACA